AAAAGUUGAGCGUUAUCUUUGCUUCGGCUCAUGUGUAAUUAAUUCGAUCUUUCCCUCAAUGAAUUGAAUGCUUUAAUUGACUCUUUUUUCCGUAACAUUGCUUGAUCUUAGUCACUUAGCGCAAAUCCUAGAAUAAAAAACGAUCAAAAACCCCUCAUCUCCUUUUUUAUUUAUUGAUUUUGUUGGAACGUUCAUUUGAAGUCUUCGCCACCCAGCUUCGAAUAGGUAUAUCUUGAAAAGACUCCUAAUUGGUUCAACACUGUAAGGGACCUCUUUGACUUGAGUUCAACCCUUUCCGCAGAUGUUGGCGAGAGAAAGAUCACUGCGUGUGAUCAUUGAAAAUGCCCCAAUGUCACUUCCAAUCACUGGGGAAGAUCAGAAAUCACAGAGGCAAGUUGGUAUCAGUGACCAAGUUCAAGGGGCAGCUAAUUGCCAAGUGAAUGCAUUUAUUUUUGUCCACCCUACUUAUAUUUUCUCAAGAAAUUGAGGUCUCUCAUCAUCACUUGAAUUCGAUUCUAUAGGUAAAAUCUGAUAGAAGCUCCGACUUCGAAGAACAACCUGUGUCUAAGAAGACUCUCCCUGGUGAAAGUGUGCCACUCGAUGCGUGUCAUUCAGAACAGUGAGUUCUGGUUACAUGCUUAUUAGAUUGGAUAAGACAUUCUGAAGUUUUGGUUAUUAUCUUUAUUCGUGUUUUAGGCUUACUUUGAUUAGAUUCCUUAUCCAGCAGAAACCGGUUUUAUAUGUUUUUGGAGAAAAUUUUUGAUGGGGGCGUUUUUUUGAUGGGGGUAUGAGGGACGAAUGAUAUGUUGACACAUGUCUUACAUAUUAAUGAAUUAUGUUUCAAAAAAUAUAAAAGAAGUGUAUUUUUGGAGAUAAAAUUUGUUUUCUUAAUUGGUGUUGGUAUUUUUGGAAACAAAAUCCAUUGAUAUGUACGACAUGUGUCAACAUAUAAUUUGUCCCCAAUUCCCCCUUCGAAAAACGCCCCCAUCAAAAAAUUUCUCAUGUUUUUGAUUGUUUUUAUGAUAUAUUAUCAUAUUCGGUCUUACGACUGUAUUAUAUGUUUCUGAAUGUUAAAUAUGAACCCCUUUUUCAGUAUUGUAUGUAUAUAUAUGGUUGUUAUCUUUGAUGUUUGUAAUACACUCUUCUUUGUAACGUCCUACUAUUAA